CACAGAGCAGAGACGAGCCACUGAGAGAAGGCAGACUGCUGGGGCGUGCAGACAGUGCCGCUCCAGACAUGCUAAUUUCGAGGAGGGUUUUUUAAAAGUGUUCUUCCGCACCCUGUAAUUCACCCUGAGCUGAUGAGGCAGGGAGGGAGGCAAGGAAAUAACAUAGCCCAAACCUUCACUGAAUUGCUCUUUUCAAAAUGUAUAUUCUCCACUUUCGUCUUCCCGGUAAUUUUAUGCAGCAUCAAAUAGCUGUAACGUGAGCCUGGUGUAACCACUCCAGGGAACGUACGAAGGGCUGUAGACCACCCCGAUCAGAUAUAUGUAUAGCCGGAUCUGCCUCAUAGAGUGGUGACAACAAGCAGUAAAAUAUUAACAGCAACACAGUAAUAAUAACAUUAUAAAAUGCAUUAAUCUCUGGGACUGUCACUGCACCGGAGAGCCUGGUUACAGCCGAUUUCAGCAAACGCUUGCUCCAGGCGCGGGGCUCCUCUGAUCCCCAUGUCAAGGAGGUGGCUGCAGAGGGGUCUUGGUGACCCAUGGCGGGGCGUUCGGCAAAAGGCACUGGGUCUGGAUGUACUGCGUAUAAAGCAAUACAGUACCUAACUUACUAUUCAUCGCACAACUUUUCAUCCUUUUGCUAUGAAAUGUUCCCAACCCUUGCUAACUUCUUAGGAAGAGUUGAACGCACUCUACCUGGAAGCUGACCAUUAGAGGGGGAAUCGGGUGCUUACGGCGACACCCAGGCAGCAAACAGCAACACGCGACAGCUGUUUAAGGACACGAAGUGAGAAAGUGCUCUGCCUCUUAUGGAAUUUAGGUGAACGGACUGUAAUUACCCAAAUAUUUAUGGGUUCUCUUUAUUGUAUGAGUCACUGAGGGCUUGUGAGGGGGCAGACAAUUUCCAUUUUGUUUAGGGCAGAAAUAUCCCUGGAGACCAGGCUGAUCUAUGGAGCUGCCAUAUCAAACCCUCCUAGGAAAGGAAAAAAAAAGAUAAUGCAUUUAUUAGUCAGCUCACAUUGGACUGCUCUGUGUAGAAAAGGAAAGAACUCAACUGAAAAAUGCUUUUAAAACCACAAUUCCAUAAGCAUCUGUCUCAUUUCAAGUACGGCUGGGGCCUUUCUGUCUCCUGAAAGGGAAGGAGAGGGUGAAUUCAAAUGAUCUGUAGCUCUGGAGUGCUGAAGGGGGGGAAAAAAAGUCCUUUCCAAAUAGCAGAGCAUCCCUGAAGACAGUGACCAGGCGCAGAUAACCUGCUCCAGCGAGCCGCGCUUUCCCCCAAUGCUCAAGCCCUUCCCCAAAUGACUUGUUGUGCCAUCCCUCUGCUCUCCCUGAGGCUGAGAUCCAAGCUAUAAGAAGUAACCAGAAAAGAAACAAUCAUUCUUGGACAUCAGGCGAAUGGAGAAAGACGGGAAAAGGGCAUGGCGGCUAUAAAUCCAGGCUCUAUCUAAUCUCUGAUCUCGACGAGGAGAGAAUUAACCAACUGAGUGUGUGACUAGAAAGGAGAAGGCUGAAGAGAAGGGACCACUUUAUCUGAGUGUGGAGUGGAGCAGCAUAGGAAUAAGUGAUGCUGCCUAGGCUGGAUGGCACUGGAGCUAAUGAAAAGCCUCACAGAAACAAUGGGCUCUCCAGAGAAGAUAGCGCCUCAUUGACAAGGUGAUCUGCCUUUUCCCAGGGAGUGUGGACAGGAUGCUCCAGCGAGCAAGGCACUGGCACGCUCUCCUGGCUGCUCUGGCUGGGAGUGAUGCUCACGGCACCCACUGCGAGGGGAUUCGCUGUGCAAGAUGCCCAUCUGUUACCCUCAGCCCGCUGGGUUCCUCCUCUCUGGUGCUCCCGGACCGAGUCAGCAUCCUCUGGUGCUGUCCUUCCCCGACAUGAGAUGUAAGACCUCCCAGAUUUGCCUUUGAGCUGCUGGCCAGGAGGAAGACCUCCCUGGCAUGCCAUCGCGGUGCAGAGCUGCUGCCCAGCCCCAGCCCGCCGCAGGGAGACCUGCCUCGGAGCCGCACUUGGUGCACGGGAGCUUGCAGUAGCAGAGUCCAUUCUAAAUACGCAUCCCUUAGAGGAUUCCUGCAGUCAAAUGGGACCUGAUAGGAUAGCAAAACCCUCGGCUGCAGCUACGAGGCGUCACUUCUGCCCCGUAGCGUGAUCGCAUGCACAAACAUAACACGGAUGUGCCCGGGUCAAGCCACACGUGUGUUCCUUGGGGACUAAAUGUGAGAGGCAGAGAGCGGCAGCUGCUUGGCAAUCAGGCCCCUGACUUCUGUUUUCUGUUAACACGCAACCUUGAAAGACUCGCUGUCCUUCUUCCUCCUCACCCCUCUCCACAGCCACUCUCCUCCCGCCCCCCGCUUCCUCAGCACGCUUUAUCUAUUACGGCUGUAAAUCCUUUGCAGCAAGCCUGCUGUCUCUCUGUUUGCACAGCACCUUGUGCAGCGGGUCUUACAGGUGCUGCUGGAAUAUAAACAGCGAUACAGCUUUAAUUAUAAACCCUGCAGGGAGAUGGGCAGCGCAAGCCUACAGGUUUGCGUCUCAAUCAAGAGACUCCACAGGGGCCACCUUCUCGGUGCAGCCCCAUUUUAGUGUCUGUUGGGCGGCCGGUAAGAGAGGCUAGUUAUGCUCCUUUCUUUUCACUCUCAAUAAUUAUAGGUCUCCCAGGAAAACUGGCCUGAGAGUGGAAAUUUUAUAAAGGUUUUAAAAGAUUUUAUUAGAAAGGAUUUGGUUCCUGUGCAAUUAUUAGUUUAACAAGGCACUUUGCUCGCCUUCUGCACUAGAACUGUUAUUGAU